AUUGAACGCUGGCGGCAUGCUUUACACAUGCAAGUCGGACGGCAGCAUAGAAGAGCUUGCUCUUUUGAUGGCGAGUGGCGAACGGGUGAGUAAUGCAUCGGAACGUACCGAGUAGUGGGGGAUAACUGUCCGAAAGGAUGGCUAAUACCGCAUAUUCUCUGAGGAGGAAAGCAGGGGACCUUAGGGCCUUGCGCUAUUUGAGCGGCCGAUGUCUGAUUAGCUAGUUGGUGGGGUAAGAGCCCACCAAGGCGACGAUCAGUAGCGGGUCUGAGAGGAUGAUCCGCCACACUGGGACUGAGACACGGCCCAGACUCCUACGGGAGGCAGCAGUGGGGAAUUUUGGACAAUGGGCGCAAGCCUGAUCCAGCCAUGCCGCGUGUAUGAAGAAGGCCUUCGGGUUGUAAAGUACUUUUGUCAGGGAAGAAAAGCCUGGGGAUAACACCCUCAGGUCAUGACGGUACCUGAAGAAUAAGCACCGGCUAACUACGUGCCAGCAGCCGCGGUAAUACGUAGGGUGCGAGCGUUAAUCGGAAUUACUGGGCGUAAAGCGAGCGCAGACGGUUAUUUAAGCAAGAUGUGAAAGCCCCGGGCUCAACCUGGGAACUGCGUUUUUGAACUGGGUAACUAGAGUGUGUCAGAGGGGGGGUAGAAUUCCACGUGUAGCAGUGAAAUGCGUAGAGAUGUGGAGGAUACCGAUGGUGAAGGUAGCCCUUUGGGAUAACCUGACGUUAUGCUCGAAAGCUUGGGUGGCUAACGGGUUUAGAUAUCCUGGGUUGUUCUAGGCGAUUCAUUGUGGGUAUCAAGCUGAUCGAUUCCGUCCACCUCGAAAAGAGGAACAAGUACUCUGUUUUUUUUCCUUUUAUGUGUGGUUGAUGUAAUGGUGGGUUGUUGGUAAUGUCUAUUUUUCUUGUG
rnacentral:rRNA from 1 species